rnacentral:rRNA from 1 species
UACGUAGGUCCCGAGCGUUGUCCGGAUUUAUUGGGCAUAAAGCGAGCGCAGGUGGUUUAUUAAGUCUGGUGUAAAAGGCAGUGGCUCAACCAUUGUAUGCAUUGGAAACUGGUAGACUUGAGUGCAGGAGAGGAGAGUGGAAUUCCAUGUGUAGCGGUGAAAUGCGUAGAUAUAUGGAGGAACACCGGUGGCGAAAGCGGCUCUCUGGCCUGUAACUGAUACUGAGGCUCGAAAGCGUGGGGAGCAAACAGG